UACAGAGGUGGCAAGCGUUGUUCGGAAUUACUGGGCGUAAAGCGUGCGCAGGCGGUGAGCUGUGUCCGAUGUGAAAUCCCCGGGCUUAACCUGGGAACUGCAUUGGUGACUGCAUUGCUGGAGUAUGGCAGAGGGGGGUGGAAUUCCACGGUGUAGCAGUGAAAUGCGUAGAGAUGUGGAGGAACACCGAUGGCGAAGGCAGCCCCCUGGGCCAAUACUGACGCUCAUGCACGAAAGCGUGGGGAGCAAACAGG
rnacentral:rRNA from 1 species